GGUCAAGCGAAUAAGCGCACACGGUGGAUGCCUAGGCGGUCAGAGGCGAUGAAGGACGUGGUAGCCUGCGAAAAGUGUCGGGGAGCUGGCAACAAGCUUUGAUCCGGCAAUAUCCGAAUGGGGAAACCCACUGCUUCGGCAGUAUCCUGCAGUGAAUUCAUAGCUGCUGGAAGCGAACCCGGUGAACUGAAAUAUCUAAGUAACCGGAGGAAAAGAAAUCAACCGAGAUUCCCUAAGUAGUGACGAGCGAACGGGGAGCAGCCCUUAAGCUGGAAUGGCUUUAGAAAAACAAUCUGGAAAGAUUGGCCAUAGAAGGUGAUAGCCCUGUAUUUAAAAGGGCCACUCCAGUGAAGACGAGUAGGGCGGGGCACGUGAAACCCUGUCUGAAUAUGGGGGGACCAUCCUCCAAGGCUAAAUACUCCUGACCGACCGAUAGUGAACCAGUACCGUGAGGGAAAGGCGAAAAGAACCCCGGAGAGGGGAGUGAAAUAGAUCCUGAAACCGUGUGCGUACAAGCAGUAGGAGCUCGCAAGAGUGACUGCGUACCUUUUGUAUAAUGGGUCAGCGACUUACUGUUCGUGGCAAGCUUAACCGUAUAGGGGAGGCGAAGGGAAACCGAGUCUGAUAAGGGCGCAUAGUCGCGGGCAGUAGACCCGAAACCGGGUGAUCUAGUCAUGGCCAGGGUGAAGGUGCCGUAACAGGUACUGGAGGCCCGAACCCACGUCUGUUGCAAAAGACGGGGAUGAGCUGUGAUUAGGAGUGAAAAGCUAAUCGAACCCGGAGAUAGCUGGUUCUCCUCGAAAGCUAUUUAGGUAGCGCCUCGGACGAAUACUACUGGGGGUAGAGCACUGUUAUGGCUAGGGGGUCAUCGCGACUUACCAAACCAUUGCAAACUCCGAAUACCAGUACGUACUAUCCGGGAGACACACGGCGGGUGCUAACGUCCGUCGUGAAAAGGGAAACAACCCAGACCCACAGCUAAGGUCCCAAAUUCACUGCUAAGUGGAAAACGAUGUGGAAAGGCAUAGACAGCCAGGAGGUUGGCUUAGAAGCAGCCACCCUUUAAAGAAAGCGUAAUAGCUCACUGGUCGAGUCGGUCUGCGCGGAAGAUUUAACGGGGCUAAGCAGUGAACCGAAGCUUGGGGUGCAUAAAACUUGUUUUAUGCGCGGUAGAGGAGCGUUCCGUAAGCCUGCGAAGGUGGAUUGAGAAGUCUGCUGGAGGUAUCGGAAGUGCGAAUGCUGACAUGAGUAACGAUAAUGCGGGUGAAAAGCCCGCACGCCGAAAGCCCAAGGUUUCCUUGCGCAACGUUAAUCGACGCAGGGUUAGUCGGUCCCUAAGGCGAGGGCGAAAGCCGUAGUCGAUGGGAAGCAGGUUAAUAUUCCUGCACCUCGCGUGAGUGCGAUGGAGGGACGGAGAAGGUUAGGUGUACCGGGCGUUGGUUGUCCCGGGGAAAGGCGGUAGGUUUGGAUCUUUGGCAAAUCCGGGAUCCUUUAAGACCGAGCACCGAGACGAGCCUUUAUGGCGAAGUCACUGAUACCACGCUUCCAGGAAAAGCUCCUAAGCUUCAGCUCACGAAGACCGUACCGUAAACCGACACAGGUGGGUAGGAUGAGAAUUCUCAGGCGCUUGAGAGAACUCGGGUGAAGGAACUAGGCAACAUGGCACCGUAACUUCGGGAGAAGGUGCACCCUUUUUGGUGGCUCAUGCGAGCUAUAGCUGAAGAGGGUCGCAGAAACCAGGCCGCUGCGACUGUUUAUCAAAAACACAGCACUCUGCAAACACGAAAGUGGACGUAUAGGGUGUGACGCCUGCCCGGUGCUGGAAGGUUAAUUGAUGGGGUCAGCCGCAAGGCGAAGCUCUUGAUCGAAGCCCCAGUAAACGGCGGCCGUAACUAUAACGGUCCUAAGGUAGCGAAAUUCCUUGUCGGGUAAGUUCCGACCUGCACGAAUGGCGUAACGACAGCGGCGCUGUCUCCACCCGAGACUCAGUGAAAUUGAAAUCGCUGUGAAGAUGCAGCGUUCCCGUGGCAAGACGGAAAGACCCCGUGAACCUUUACUAUAGCUUUACACUGAACGUUGAGUUCGUCUGUGUAGGAUAGGUGGGAGGCUAUGAAACUGUGGCGCUAGCUGCAGUGGAGCCAUCCUUGAAAUACCACCCUGUCGUGCUUGACGUUCUAACCUAGAUCCGUUAUCCGGAUCAGGGACCGUGUAUGGUGGGUAGUUUGACUGGGGCGGUCUCCUCCUAAAGAGUAACGGAGGAGCACGAAGGUACGCUCAGCGCGGUCGGACAUCGCGCACUGUGUGCAAAGGCAUAAGCGUGCUUGACUGCAAGAUCGACGGAUCAAGCAGGUACGAAAGUAGGUCUUAGUGAUCCGGUGGUUCUGUAUGGAAGGGCCAUCGCUCAACGGAUAAAAGGUACUCCGGGGAUAACAGGCUGAUACCGCCCAAGAGUUCAUAUCGACGGCGGUGUUUGGCACCUCGAUGUCGGCUCAUCACAUCCUGGGGCUGUAGUCGGUCCCAAGGGUAUGGCUGUUCGCCAUUUAAAGUGGUACGCGAGCUGGGUUCAGAACGUCGUGAGACAGUUCGGUCCCUAUCUGCCAUGGGCGUUGGAAGUUUGAGAGGGGCUGCUCCUAGUACGAGAGGACCGGAGUGGACGAACCUCUGGUGUUCCGGUUGUCACGCCAGUGGCAUUGCCGGGUAGCUAUGUUCGGAAGCGAUAACCGCUGAAAGCAUCUAAGCGGGAAGCGCGCCUCAAGAUGAGACUUCCCGGGGCACAAGCCCCCUAAAGGAACCAUAUAGACUAUGUGGUUGAUAGGUCAGGUGUGUAAGUACAGCAAUGUAUUGAGCUAACUGAUACUAAUGAUCCGUGCGGCUUGACCAU
rnacentral:rRNA from 5 species